rnacentral:tRNA from 1 species
UGACUUCUAAUCAAAGGAUUCUGGGUUCGA